rnacentral:lncRNA from 1 species
GCACCAUCGGAGCCCAAUUCUCCCACCAAAACAAACAUGGAAUAUCCAAACACACCAGAAAAGCAAGAUCUAGUUUCAAAAUCAUAUUUGAUCAUGAUGCUGGAGGACUUCAAGAAAGACGUGAAGAACUCCCUUAGAGAACAAGUAGAAGCCUACAGAGAGGAAUCACAAAAAUGCCUGAAAGAAUUCCAGGAAAACAUAAUUAAACAAGUAGAAGCCCAUAGAGAGGAGUCACAAAAAUCCCUGAAAGAAUUCCAGGAAAUCAUAAAUAAACAAGUAGAAGCCCAUAGAGAGGAGUCACAAAAAUCCCUGAAAGAAUUCCAGGAAACACAAUCAAACAGUUGAAGGAAUUAAAAAUGGAAAUAGAA